CCUACGGGUGGCAUCAUUGAGGAAUAUUGGUCAAUGGGCGCAAGCCUGACCCAGCAACGCCGCGUGAAGGAAGAAGGCUUUCGGGUUGUAAACUUCUUUUCUCAGGUCCUCCUCCAGUGCCGGUACCUGAGGAAUAAGCCACGGCUAACUACGUGCCAGCAGCCGCGGUAAUACGUAGGUGGCAAGCGUUAUCCGGAUUUACUGGGUGUAAAGGGCGUGUAGGCGGGAAAGCAAGUCAGAUGUGAAAACCAUGGGCUCAACCUGUGGCCUGCAUUUGAAACUGUUUUUCUUGAGUACUGGAGAGGCAGACGGAAUUCCUAGUGUAGCGGUGAAAUGCGUAGAUAUUAGGAGGAACACCAGUGGCGAAGGCGGUCUGCUGGACAGCAACUGACGCUGAGGCGCGAAAGCGUGGGGAGCAAACAGGAUUAGAUACCCCUGUAGUC
rnacentral:rRNA from 1 species